ensembl:lncRNA
CCUUCACUCUACUACAUCCUCAGCCUUAUUAAGUUUUCAUUUUGAGACCGGACCUUGCUAAGUCACUAAGUUGCCCAGGAUGGGCUGGAAUUUGUAAUCCUCUUGCUUCAGCUUCCAGAGUAUUGGGAUUACAGGUGUGCAGCAGCAACCUCUUACAGGUUUUCCAGGGAAGGAACUGCAAGGAUGACAAAGAGAGGAAAGUUUGUGGUUUAUUUGCUUGUUCCAGCUAGGAGACCUUGUGGACUUUGGGCAAGUUACUCAACUUUUCUGAGCCUUGGCUCUGCUAUGGUGCCAUAGCUGGGAUCAAAUGUAACAGAAACAAGGGUCCGAGUGCCAGGAGAGGAGAAGGAAGCUGCUCAGUUGGAGGCCUAAGGCCACUUGACCCCAGGACUCUCUCUCCUCCCUCUUGGUGCCUGCCGAGUGUCUGGUCCACAGCAAGCGUGCUCAGGGUGGCUGCUGAAUGAGGGACUGUUCCCGCCUCUCUACCUCAGACCUCUGUGAUGCAGGCUGUGUCUUCAACACCUGCCCCUGGCUGUGCUUUGCUUCUGGUCUCUGGAAGCAGAGAGGGAAACCGAAGUCCGCCAGGGCAGGUUGGUGUCCUUCAGGGCUGAGAGGCCACCGUGGGAAUCAAGGAAGAGGGGAUGUGGGAGAGACCUUAGCAGUUCUGGUGCUGGUCUUGCGAUGGAGAUCGACCUUCGGCUGUGGCUCAGGGCAAAGGUGACCCGGUUACUCUACUGCUUAAACUCCUCAGUGUGAUGAUAAUAACAGGAACUUAGGAGCUAUUGCUGUGUGCCUCCUUCUUUUACGGUGUGAAGGCCACCACUGAAAUGGAUGUGUGCCAACAAAAUUCACAUGCUGAAAUUCAGUCCCUGUGAGACGGUAUUAAUAGGUGGGACCUCCAAGGGGGUUUAGGUCACCUCCAUAAGGCAGAGCCCUCAGGCGUGGGAUCAGAAUCUGUGGAAGGGCUUGAGGGAGCCUGCCUGUCCCCUGUCCCCUGCCAAGUGGGGACUCGGUGAAAGGGUGCCGUCUGUGAGGCACAGACACUGAACCUGGUACCUGGACCUUGGACUUCUCGGCCAACGCUGGAGUUCUGGAGAGCAGUACUGGAGAACCGGAAGUACUUCUCAGUGCCGAGAGCAGCCCAGUCUGAGGUGUUUACUUCAGCCUGAACAGACCACACAGGGGACCCCUAAAGUCCCGCCCAGAGCCUCUGCCGUCAUUUGCUGUGAGACUCCCUGUUUCAGUGAUGAAGAAGAGUCUUGGAGGCCUGAAGGACUUGCCCACGGUUAUCUCACUUCAGAGUCGGGCUCCCCCGCUUCUCGGCGGCCUUAUUCCUCCCCGGGGUUGCACCGUCCCCCCUGUGUCCCUCGGCGCCCCCACGCAGAUUUAUUGCAGUCCUCGGGGGUCUGGUUUCCCGCACACGCCUCCUCCGAGCGCCAAUGCCCAGGUCCCAGCGGCCUCUCCGCCACCCAUCCCCCAGAGCUCUGCUUAAAUCUUGCUUCUGCAGCCAGUGAGGGUCAGUGCGUGCUCAGAGAUGGAGCCGACCCUCCGCUCCACACUGCUGAACGCUGGGGCCCGACACUGGGAGCGAGAUGCGGACACGGCUUCCGGCCUCCGCGGGAG